CACGCAUACACACACACACACACACACGCACACACCACAGCCUCAGCAGUCUGCACUGCUGGGACAAAAGGACCCGAAACCAGAGAGCUUCUCUUUUGUUGUUUCCAGUGCUGGCCGGCUGAGAGACGUUAGCCCUACAGAGAUGAAGACAUUGGGGGGGGGGGGGCGUCCCUACCCUCCGCAUAACCCCGACGCGGCUCCCACAUUUAGGGCACAGAGACUGUGGCGGCCGGGGAAGAUCCAAGCCAACAUGAGACAGAGCUAACAAGGAUCAAGAAUGUUAAACUUGGACCAUGAUGGGAACACUUGCAAUGGGGUAGGAGGGAGAAUAACACCAUUACAAAAGCAACAAAAUGACCAAGAGACAACAAAAGGGAUGAUCUGCCCGCCUUCACAGGAAAUGGAAGCUUAUGAAGCAGACCAUUACAGGAAGUCAUAUAGUUUGGUUGUAGCCACCCAGAUACAGUAGAACGUUCAGUCACCAGAGGAGAAACCCUCCACUCCACUCAGCCCGAGUGACCGAAAAGAGAUGGACACUGCCGUAAACUCCACAUUCGCAUUCCACUUGCGACUUUGUCUCUUUGUCAUUCUCUGUGCCCUGUGUUUUCAGGCCUGUCAAGUCCACAUGCUCUUCGCCGGUCUGGGACAAAUUAGCAGAGAUGACAGUGUCAUCUGGCUCUGAGCCCUGUCCUCCCCUCUCUCUCUCUCUCUCCCCUUUUGUCUUGUGGCAAGGGAGCGUGGUGCUGGCCGGGGGUAACGGAGACAAGCGUGGUCUGUUCGUCCACAAUGAGCUGAAGGGGACCUCACCUCCUCUCCACUGAUGUCACUGGCUUUGGUGUGGCACUAAUACAAGUGUGGUUUAAGAGAGGGACGACAGCACAUCUUUAACACAUCAUAAUUCAUGUUGUUUUCUGUUUUUAUAUGGCAGACAAUGAUCUCCACUAGCAACAAAAUUAAAGUAUGUGUGUUUGUUUACAGUUAAGCCACAUCUGAUAUAGGUCUCUCAGAUAAGUUUAUAAACAUAGACACCACACAGGUAAUUUGCAUUGUUAGAACAACAUGCAGUUUAAAAUAUUCUUUUUUUAAGUAAUUGUAUAAAAUAUGUGUCAGAUAAUGUCUAUCAUAAUGUUAAGUCAACAUUUGAUUAAAUGUGUUUUCAUCAUUGUAAAAUGUGUUAUUCCAAGAGGUUCAGUUCAUGGGGGGUUUUUAGUGUUGUAAGAAAAUUCAAAUCAUGAGAUGUCGGGAAACCCUAAGCUUAAACCCAAACCAAAGUGCUUUCGAGAAUGGUGGUCGAAACACAGAGUAUGAAUCAUUCCCAGUUCUGCUGAGAUGAGAGCUGUGAAAUUAAAUGAUCAUUUGUCAUCAAUCCUCUCCUUUGAAACCUGAUCAACUAGUCUUCUAGCAGGUCCUUCACUCUAAAAGGGAACGAGUGCAGACUUGAGACAACUCUCUCUCUCUCUUUCUGCCCCAAAACAAUAUUUCUGCAGUGACUGUCUUUUUUGAAAUUAGCAGUCUGUCUUGCUCUGUCAGGCACAAACCAAGAUGGCCUUUGAGUGGGCGGGUCCUUCUGCUUUCCCCCCCGGCGUCCCAUUGGAUGGUUGGCGGAGGCGAUGAAAGUGUGAAUUUGACAGGACCCAUCAGCUGCAGUUAAUCAUUGGCAUGUGAGGCCUGGAGAAGUCACGUUCGUGCGGGUGUCAGCCAAACAUCUUUCCGUUUGAGAGGAGAGGAGACGAGAGGAGGACAGAGGAGGAGAGGAAAGUGCAUCCAUUUCUCAGUUAGCCAAUCGCACUUCCUCCAUACUUAUUAAUUGACAAAUAAUUGUUUUUUUUCCUCUCUUCCUCUCUCUCUCUGCACAUAUCUGUUGAAUGAUUAAUAUAGGCCACAUUUAUCACUUAGGGAAAAAAAAUAGAUUUUUGAAAGUUGGGAAAGAUGUGUGAACAGAUUUGUAUUUUUCCUGAUCAGGUGUGCAGAAGAACAAGACAUAAAAAAAGCAAAAAACAAAACAAAAACAAAAUAAGUCAUAAAUGCAAGACAACCCCACACAUGAGGAGCACGUCUGAACAGCCGCAUCUCCUUGUGUUGUGACCUGGCACCCACUUUGACUCUAUUCCCUGUCUGACGAGUGCCUGCGAGGAAGUGACUCAACAGCAGAGAAACAUGCUCAAACACCCAAGCCGCUUCUGUUGCUCUGAUCUGAGAGUGAUGCAUCAUGCCGCAUGACAAUGUGGAGCUCGGUGAAGUUUGCGGGUAAUUUACCUGUCAUGCUGUUGUUAUGUGUUCCUGUGAGUAUGUGUGUGUUUGAGAGAGAGAGUGUGAAA